rnacentral:rRNA from 1 species
AUUGAACGCUGGCGGCAGGCCUAACACAUGCAAGUCGAACGAGAGGCGGACGGGUGAGUAAUGUCUGGGAACCUGCCUGACGGAGGGCGAUAACUACUGUAAAAGGUAGCUAUACGUCAUAUACGCAGAUGUGCCCGGAUGGGAUUAGCUAGUUGGUGGGGUAACGGCUCACAAAGGCGACGCUCCCUAGCUGGUCUGAGAGGAUAACCAGCCACACGGGAACUGAGCCACGGUCCAGACUCCUACGGGAGGCAGCAGUGGGGAAUAUUGCACAAUGGGAGCAAGCCUGAUGCAGCCAUGCCGCGUGUAUGAAGAAGGCCUUCGGGUUGUAAAGUACUUUCAGCGGGGAGGCGUUACCCUCAGAAGAAGCACCGGCUAACUCCGUGCCAGCAGCCGCGGUAAUUC